rnacentral:lncRNA from 1 species
AAAUAAAUAAAUUAAAUUAAAAAAUAAGGAGACACCAAAGAAAGUACGACACAGAUCUACAACUGUAAAACAUAUGAUCUCUGUAGCCGUUGAAGAUAGAAUAUUAUUUGAGUUUGAUCCUAGCCCUGGGGUCCUAAAUGAAUCUAUAUUCCUGUCCACUGGGUUUUUCAACUGAGAGGAUAGGAGAGUCACAAAGAUCGGAACAAGGUGUGAGACUCAUUUCUCUUUAUGGCUCUUGGUUAUUAGUUUUAUCCCUUCUUUUCUCACCUUGUUUUAGAGGCUAUUAUGCAAGUUUGGGUAGAGAUUAACCUUGAUGGGUUUAGCUCCAGUAGAAUAUCAUAAUUUUUACUGAUAAAAGAGGUUUAAUCUGCUUGAUUUACACACAGAAGUACUGAUAAAUCAUUAACUGAAUGAGCCAGGAUCUGUUUAUGAAUAGGGCUGUCCUCUGGGACCAGACCAGAAGGAAGAGACCAUCAGGGAAAAUAUUUCAUAUGGCAGUUCCAUUCACACAGUAAAUCCCUUGCUAUUAAGUUAAUGAGUAUGGUGUUCCUUGGUUAAAGGUUUGAGGCUGAUGGUUAUGGGCGGGGCAGGGGGUGCUGGGGAAGGUAUGGUGAGGAUAAAUGUGUGACUGGAGUAUUUGAAGACUGCAAGGAAAAGGUUGCAUAGUAGUGGUCAGGCUUAAGAUUGGUAUUUUUGUGUCCAUAUCAGUAAAACAUCUGUAAGGUUGUCCUUUAAUUUUCAGAGAAAUGUUUCCUUGUGAGUUUAAGAGUAGAGAAACUGAACACCUUCACUGAUGUCUCCAUUGUUCAUUUCUUAGUUUUAGAACUCUUUCAAAAUAUUCAGCAGGGUUUUGGAGGUCUGGCCUUGGGGCAGACCCAUUCUAGUUUUUGCUUGCAUGUUAACGCUCCUCUAUUUCUGGUUCAAGUGCAUUCACAAAAGGAUAAGAGGGCAACCAGGAUCACGUCUGCUCCAGGAUCAACUCCUGCGUGCUGUCUAUAGGCCCUGCAGAGUCUCUGGCAAUGGCUUUCAGCUGAGAAUGAAAUCAGAGCUUAGAAUCCAUCAUAAGAGGUUUUCUCUAUUCCACUGGAGGUUUACUUUAAAGAGGAUCUUGGGAAGAAGACCUCAAGCCUCAGAUGACACCUCAGCCCUACCAAAACCUUGAUUUCAGCCUUGUGAGACUCUGAGCAGUGAGCCUACUUGGUCCUUACAUGGACUUUUGAUUUACACAACAGAAAAAUAAAUGGGUAUUGUUUUAAGCUGCUAAGUUUGUAGUAAUUUAUUACAUAGGAACAGAAAAUUAAAACAAUGUUUCAUGCGAAUGGACAUAUCACUCUUUUUUCUUUCUUUCUUUCUUUUUUUUUUUUUUUUUUUUGUCCAAAGAUGUCUUCUCAUGUUUGUAUGUGAAGAUUUUAGCUGGAUGUAGAAUUUUAG